rnacentral:rRNA from 1 species
GACGAACGCUGGCGGCGUGCUUAACACAUGCAAGUCGAACGGAAAGGCCCUGCUUUUGUGGGGUGCUCGAGUGGCGAACGGGUGAGUAACACGUGAGUAACCUGCCCUUGACUUUGGGAUAACUUCAGGAAACUGGGGCUAAUACCGGAUAGGAGCUCCUGCUGCAUGGUGGGGGUUGGAAAGUUUCGGCGGUUGGGGAUGGACUCGCGGCUUAUCAGCUUGUUGGUGGGGUAGUGGCUUACCAAGGCUUUGACGGGUAGCCGGCCUGAGAGGGUGACCGGCCACAUUGGGACUGAGAUACGGCCCAGACUCCUACGGGAGGCAGCAGUGGGGAAUAUUGCACAAUGGGCGGAAGCCUGAUGCAGCAACGCCGCGUGCGGGAUGACGGCCUUCGGGUUGUAAACCGCUUUCGCCUGUGACGAAGCGUGAGUGACGGUAAUGGGUAAAGAAGCACCGGCUAACUACGUGCCAGCAGCCGCGGUGAUACGUAGGGUGCGAGCGUUGUCCGGAUUUAUUGGGCGUAAAGGGCUCGUAGGUGGUUGAUCGCGUCGGAAGUGUAAUCUUGGGGCUUAACCCUGAGCGUGCUUUCGAUACGGGUUGACUUGAGGAAGGUAGGGGAGAAUGGAAUUCCUGGUGGAGCGGUGGAAUGCGCAGAUAUCAGGAGGAACACCAGUGGCGAAGGCGGUUCUCUGGGCCUUUCCUGACGCUGAGGAGCGAAAGCGUGGGGAGCGAACAGGCUUAGAUACCCUAGUAGUCCACGCUGUAAACGGUGGGUACUAGGUGUGGGGUCCAUUCCACGGGUUCCGUGCCGUAGCUAACGCUUUAAGUACCCCGCCUGGGGAGUACGGCCGCAAGGCUAAAACUCAAAGGAAUUGACGGGGCCCCGCACAAGCGGCGGAGCAUGCGGAUUAAUUCGAUGCAACGCGUAGAACCUUACCUGGGUUUGACAUGGAUCGGGAGCGCUCAGAGAUGGGUGUGCCUCUUUUGGGGUCGGUUCACAGGUGGUGCAUGGCUGUCGUCAGCUCGUGUCGUGAGAUGUUGGGUUAAGUCCCGCAACGAGCGCAACCCUUGUUCACUGUUGCCAGCACGUUAUGGUGGGGACUCAGUGGAGACCGCCGGGGUCAACUCGGAGGAAGGUGGGGAUGACGUCAAGUCAUCAUGCCCCUUAUGUCCAGGGCUUCACGCAUGCUACAAUGGCUGGUACAGAGAGUGGCGAGCCUGUGAGGGUGAGCGAAUCUCGGAAAGCCGGUCUCAGUUCGGAUUGGGGUCUGCAACUCGACCUCAUGAAGUCGGAGUCGCUAGUAAUCGCAGAUCAGCAACGCUGCGGUGAAUACGUUCCCGGGGCU